GGAUUAGAUACCCUGGUAGUCCACGCCGUAAACGAUGUCUACUAGCCGUUGGGGGACUUGAUCUUUUAGUGGCGCAGCUAACGCGAUAAGUAGACCGCCUGGGGAGUACGGCCGCAAGGUUAAAACUCAAAUGAAUUGACGGGGGCCCGCACAAGCGGUGGAGCAUGUGGUUUAAUUCGAAGCAACGCGAAGAACCUUACCUACACUUGACAUCCAGAGAACUUGCUAGAGAUAGCUUGGUGCCUUCGGGAGCUCUGAGACAGGUGCUGCAUGGCUGUCGUCAGCUCGUGUUG
rnacentral:rRNA from 1 species